AGAUAAGUGCUGAAAGCAUCUAAGCACGAAACUUGCCCCGAGAUGAGUUCUCCCUGAGACCUAGAGUCUCCUGAAGGAACGUUGAAGACGACGACGUUGAUAGGCCGGGUGUGUAAGCGCAGCGAUGCGUUGAGCUAACCGGUACUAAUGAACCGUGAGGCUUAACCUU
rnacentral:rRNA from 1 species